UUAAGUUCAGCGGGUCUUCCUACCUGAUCCGAGGUCAACCUUGGGUAAAUAAGGCUUUAUCGACCGGCACCGACCAGCACGCCCAGAGCGAGAUGUAACUACUACGCUCGGGGUGACAGCGAGCCCGCCACUGGUUUCAGGGCCUGCGGCAGCCGCAGGUCCCCAACACAAGCCGGGGGCUUGAUGGUUGAAAUGACGCU
rnacentral:misc_RNA from 1 species